rnacentral:rRNA from 1 species
GACGAACGCUGGCGGCGUGCUUAACACAUGCAAGUCGAGCGGAGCGGCGAACGGGUGAGUAACGCGUGAGUAACUGCCCCCCUCUCUGGGAUAACAGUUGGAAACGGCUGCUAAUACCGGAUAGUGGGGGAUGACUCGCGUCCUAUCAGCUUGUUGGUGGGGUAGUGACCUACCAAGGCGACGCCGGGUAGCCGGCCUGAGAGGGCGACCGGCCACAUUGGGCUGGGAUACUGCCCAGACUCCGACGGGGGGCAGCAGUGGGGAAUGGUGCACAGUGGUGAAAAGCCUGAUGCAGAAGCGCCGCGUGCGGGAGGACGGCCUUCGGGUUGUGAACCGCUUUCAGCUAUGACGCGGUAGUGGCAGAAGAAGCACCGGCUAACUACGUGCCAGCAGCCGCGGUAAUAC